rnacentral:pre_miRNA from 1 species
CACGGUGUGUUAGACUCUUCUCUUUGAGUAUUUGACAGACUGUGUGUGACACUCGUUUUCGCUGGGUGUCAGUUUGUCAAAUACCCCAAGAGAGGGGUCAAUAUUC